GGGAAUGCCUAGGCUCUCAGAGAAGACGAAGGACGUGAUAAGCUGCGAAAAGCUACGAUGAGGUGCAAAUAACCGUUAUUAAUCGUAGAUGUCCGAAUGGGGCAACCCAGUGCCGUGAAGCGGCAUUACUCGAAAGAGGUAAAACCCAGGGAACUGAAACAUCUAAGUACCUGGAGGAGGAGAAAAUAAGGAAAUGAUUCCGCAAGUAGUGGCGAGCGAACGCGGAAGAGGC
rnacentral:rRNA from 1 species